rnacentral:lncRNA from 1 species
UGCAUGGUAGGUGGUAAUAAAUUCUUAACAGUUUGUUGUUUGAUACUCAUGUUUGGCUUAUUGGAUCAUGGUGCCAGAGGCAAAAAUAAUUAGAAGGAGGAUAGUAUUUAGUAAAGCAAGACAAAAUUAAGUUUUAUUUAAAAAUUAUUAUUAUUAUGAUUGUGGUAAAAUACACAUAACAUAAAAUUUGCCAUCUUCACUAUUUUUAAUUGUGUAGUUCGGUGGUAUUAAAUAUGUUCACAUGUUAUGUAACCAUCAACAUCAUCAAUCUCCAUAAUGCUUUUCAUUUUGUAAAUCUGAAAUUCCAUACCCAUUAAGCAAUAACUCCCUAUUUACCCCACCCCCCAGACCCUGACAACCACAAUUCUAUUUUCUGUCUCUAUGGUUUAGACUACUUUAAGUACCUUUUAUAAGUGGAAUCAUGCAAUAUUUGUCUUUUUGUGACUGGUCAUUUUUCUUAGCAUAAAGUUGUCAACCUUUAUGACAACUUCUUCCAUAUUGUAGCAUAUGUAAGAAUUUCCUUCCUUUUUAAGGCUGAAUAAUCCAAAUUAAGUUUUGUAGCCUGAUAAAAUACUGACAGGUUGAACAUCAUAGAAAACCCUUUAUAAAAUCUGUAUUUAAAUAAAUAGUUUCCAUUCUAUAGAGUAUAAUGUUGCGCUUAUUAAAAGAGAAAUAAUGAUAAAAACAUGUAUUUGAUGUACAAACAUUCUGCUUAUGGCAUCUUGAAGAAUUUAGGACACAGUCACAUUCAGGAAUUACAGGCUAAUGAGCAUCUUCACCUCUUUUCAUUCACUCUGAAGAGGUUUCAUGAAAGUCAGAAGACUUUCAACAUUGGGAAUGUUGGAAUGAAAUGUGCUUUAGUAUUUUUAAUUUUUUUUAAAUAAAAUAAUCCAGGUGAGGUUAAUUAAUGCAUACACUCAGCCUAAUCAAAAGAAAUCUAUUGGGAUAAUGAGCAUUUUGGUGACUAUUGCAAAGAAAAAGGUGCUUAUUUCUAAGGCAGAAAGAAAAUAUAUUUUCAUAGUUAAUAUAUACAUUAAAAUUGUAUGUACUUGCAUAUUAGAUAUACACAGUGUUAAAGCUAUGGCUAAUAUAUCAUUUUGGAGAAAAAUCUGAGUAAAAAUUAACUCUUGUAAAGAGUUACUGGUGUCAGAUGGCAGAGUCCCAAAUGAGUGGAUUCGUUUAUCCCCACAAUGUAUCAGGUGAUCACCUCUCAUAAAAACUACUAUUAACCUAAAAAAUUAGGGUCAGUAAAAGCUUAGCUCUAAUUCACAAAUCUCAACAAGCUGAACUGUUAGACCCAGUGAGCUCAUUAGGAUAGAUUAAAGACCAAACAUAAUGACAUUACGAAAUAUGUGAUUUUAAUAUGUUUGAUCCUAUCAGAGCAAUCCUUUUAAUAACAUGAUUUUAUUGUGGAACCUUGUAUGUUUUCCUUAAAAACCAAAAAGACAAUCUAAAAAUUUAACCCAUUGUUGUUUCUUAGCUUGUAACCCCGUGAUACUUGAUUUAAUUUGGUAAAGCUGACUGAAGUGAUGCUAUUCUGGGACAUAAUGACAGCAAAGAUGACAUGAGCCAAUGCUGCAGCUGAAUUUCAAUUUUCAGUAAAAAAUCCUCACCCCACCUGCCACUGGAAUAGAAAUAAUAUCAAGGGCUAACUUCUAAUCUUGCACCCCUGUCAUACAUCAUACUCUGGAUUCCAACAGUCUACACCUAUUUUCUUUUAUAAUGGUCCUAACCCCAAACAAGCAACCUAGGGUUUGUAGCAACAAAAUCAGAUCCUUACAGUGAACAGGACUUUGCAAAGCACCUUCUUCAGAAUUAGUAAUAUUACUUACUUAAUAUGGGAAAAAACAUACAAAUCUUACCAUCAAUGGGCCAACUCAUAACCAACAAUUUAUAGCAUACAAGAACCUUCAUGGUAUCUUAUUCAACCUUUAACAUAAUUCUAUUUGUUAUCAUUAAUUCUAAAUCACAAAUGAGGAAACAGAGUCAGAAACAGCUGAUUUUUCACUGUGCUUGGGUUAGGUCCAACUCUGGAAUUAUCAUAUGCAAAUAAUGACAGAGAGAGGCUCUCAUAUAGUUGUAGAAUUGUAACAAGACAACAAGCAAUUCACAUAAGUCAUGGUUUCUCAGACAAUAAUCUUGUUUAGUAAUUAUUAGUCUUUAUCUGAAACACAUGGUUUGAUGGUAAAUUUUUUGAAUAGGCGAUAAUAAAAAAUAAUUCUCAAAAAGAACCCUCAAAGUCAACUGUGUGUAUUUCCUUCUUUCCUGGUGGGGAAAGUUUAUAAGGGUUGGGGCAAGUCCCUUCAGACCCAGGAAUUUGAUAAACACCAUCAGGGUUGUUGAGACCAACCUCACUGUGAGAGAGAAACAGAAUGAAUGAGAUGUUGAUAUAGGAAAGGAAGUAGCUGAAUUAAGAGUGUUUUCUUCUUUACUAACAGCCAGUCCACACGUUGAAAAGCAUUCAGUUACAAUUUUUAUCUAUAAAGAGUGGAACAUUCGCCCAAUGUCCCAGUACAAUAGGACCAUGAGAGUGAAGUUCCCUAAAGAACUCAACCAUUUCCAUGGAUAGAUGGCAGAGGAACACAGCUUUGCUGUCAGAAUGAUUUGUGACCAGGCCUAGAUGGGGACUGGGGGCAUCCUGGCAGGUUGAUAAUUUUAUUUUAAAACCAUAUUCUUUCAAUAUUUGUACAUUUAUAUCGAAGAGAGUCUGAGCUCUGUGUGGGAGCAAUGUGCAGUGGGAACUUCUGGGUCCCUCGGUGUCCCCUUUCAUGUCUUAGGCUAUUUGGCUCUACCAGGUGUGGAUAUUCCACUCAGCACGGCUGUGCCCACAGAGGCUGUGCCUCUGGCUUGCUCUUCUUGGAAGUCAGAUGCAAAUAUCGCCUUCUCGGGUCUUAGCCCCAUCUUAGUAUCCCAUCCUUUUCCCUAAGAAGAAACGUGGCAUAUACAAGUUCCUCCAUCUUGUGACAUUUCCACGAUUCUCUUAGCCCCUCUUACAGAACAGUUUCCCAAGCAGCAGCCUGCCUGAUCCACCCUUAAUUCAGCUGUGCGUCUGACAACAUGUUCUACAGGAAAGAUAACCUUGUACAUCAGGUGUUUCCUGUUUCCAGUACCAAAAGGUCAGUACUUGAUUACACAUGUAUUUACAAGGGUAGAGAAGGGAAAUGAUCAAAAGUUUUUACAACCAUAGUCCUUCAAUUAAGAAAGAAGUGGUCUUUAAUUUUCUCCAUUCUUUUUAAAAAUUCUCUUUCUACCUUUGUUUAAAUAUCUCUCCUAACUAGGAAAGACCUGUUGUACAUCAUACAAGGCAUACCAACCCACAUACUAGAACACAUAAGUAGGAGGAAUAGUGUUCUAGAAGAGAAUUACUAUUUGGAGAAAAAAAGGCAUAAUUUCCUUUUACAGUCAUGCAUUGCUUAAUGCCAGAGAUACGUCCUGAGAAAUGUGUGAUUAGGCAGUAUCAUCAUUGUGUGAACAUAAUAGAAUGUAUUUACACAAACCUAGGUGGUAUAACCCACUAUUCACCUAAGCAAUAUGGUACUGCUCCUAGGCUACAAACCUGUAUAGCAUGUUACUAUACUGGAUACUGUAAACAAUUGUAACCCAAUGGUAAGUAUUUACAUAUCUAAACAUAUCUGAGCAUUAAAAAGGUACAGUAAAAAUACAGUAUUCUAGUCUUACAGGAUUACCACUAUAUAUGCCCUUUGUCAUUGAUGGAACCAUCAUUAUGCUGUGCUUGCCUAUAUUUCAAAAUUCACUAUAAAAAGAUAGGUGAACCUCAGAUCCAUCUCCUAGAUGUAUGAUUUCUAGCUGCAUAUUAACCUCAGUCACAUUUUAAUAUUAUUCACACAAAAAUUAAAACACUCAGGUAUUUGUGAUGAAGUAAUUUUGCCUAAAUUUAUUUUAUUUCCAAAGAACCUGCAUCAAUUUGAUUCAGUAACAUUUAAAAUCAUUCAACAAAAAUCUUUCAAACUUUUAUGUUACAGUAAUAUUCAAACUCUUUUUUUGUGGCUCAAAUCUUUUUAUGAACUUCAAUUAUGUGAAAAUAUCCAAUUUUAUUUUUAAAUAAAGAUGUUUAGAAAUGUAUUGAUAUUUGUCAAAUCUAAGUUGCAGCUAUGUAAGUUUUUAUUAAGUCAUUCUCUGUGUAUACUUCUAAGUAUGUUGGACUUCUUACAUAAAAAAUUAAACGUUAUUGAGGAAAGAAAAGGGAGAAUAAGUUUCAAAAAGAAAUUUAUCUUUCUUUAGAUAUAUAUAAUCAUCACAAAAUAUUAUCAGAUAACAAAUCUUGAAUUUUACUUUAAAUGAAAACAUUUUUCAGAUCUGUCUUACUAAUUUUAUGUAAUUCCUUUUCACAUGUUUCGUGAGGCUGAUAAAAUGCUUCGUAAGCAGGUAUUCAUGUGGCUCUAUAACAAGUUAUUUUUAGGAAGCUUAUAUACAAAAAUACUUGCCACACUUUCUCUCACUCUCUGGACAGUCAGACAAGAAGGCUCACUUUCUCCAGGAAUCUCCUAGUGCCAGGUUCUGGGCUGUGGACACCAUGCUGGCCAGAGGAAGCUGCUGCACAGGUACAGAGGUGCAGAGGGUGGGGCUGCACUGAGAGGGCGGGGCGGGAUCAGAAGUAAUUUGACCAGUUAGGAAGCUACUGCAAUAGCAAUAUUGAUUAUUUACUAUGUGUCAGAUGCUGUGCCAUUGUGCUAGGUGCUGGGCAUAGGAGUGAAAAAGACACCAAAGUCCUCAGUUCCAGGGAAUUAAUUUUUCUAGUAAACAAACAAACCAAAAAACAAGGAAAGUCAUCAUUACUAUGGAGAAAACAACACUGGAUCUUGUCAUAGCGACUGAGGCCUCCACAGAAGUGUCUUCCUUUGGCUUUGGUAUCAAGGUAAUGCUGGCCUCAUAAGGCUUCCGAGGUGAUCGGGCAGCAUCAGUCUUCAGCUGCUAAGCCGAGAAGAUCUGGGAAGGAGUCAGUCAGAGAGCCGUGGGCCAGAGUUCCAGGGGCUCUGGGAGUGGCUGCCAGGUAAGUUGAACAGUCUGAUUUUCAGUGGGGUCCUGCACAGAUGGGACACGGCUUAGGAGGAAUCCCGGGCUGUGGGCAUUCCUUGGCCUGGUGGCCAGAUUCCGGCACUUGUAGCAAGCUCCUGGGGGUUCUGGAGGAACACUUGGCAGCUGCAGUUCAGGCAUUUGGAGUUCUUGUGUGCUGGAGAUGUGGCUGGGGUUUGUCUCAGUGCAGGCAAGGAAUUGCAAUUUAGAAAUAUGUUGCUACUUGGCUGCCUCUACUCUAAUAUUGUAUACCUUGAAGGUGAGGUUAAUUAAGUCUUGUUGUGAGGUUUGAGGGCCGGAAUUUAAUUUUUGGAGCUUUAUUUAAUGUUGGGAGCAGAUUCAGUAAUAAAAUAAAAUGUAUAUUGAGAAUAAGACGUCCUUUUGACCUUUUAGGGUCUAGGGCUGUAAAGUGUCUCAGGGUUGCUGCUAAUGGGGCCAUGAACUGGGCUGGGUUUUUUAUAGUUGAUGAAAAAGAGCUUAAACACUAACUGAUUUGGGACAGGUCGGAUAAAUAAAAAGGAGCAUUAACAUUGACUAUGCCUUUAGCUCCAGCCACCUUUUUAAGAGGAAAUUGCUGGGCAGGUGGGGGAGGGCUACUCAUGGAACGAAACUAUAAGACAGACCGGGUGUGAGUAGGGGAGGUGAUAAAAAGAUUAUAGGGUGUAGGAGCGGAGGCUGAGGAAGAAUUGGGACCUAGCUCGGCCUGGCGAGGAGGGGAGAGGUCAGAUGGGUCUGUAGAAAAGGAAGAUUAGAAAGAGUCAGCAACGCUUGGGGUUGGGAGUGAGGGGACAGGCGGGAGGGAAAGAAGGAAGAUUU